UAGAGGGUGUGUGUGUGUGUGUGUGUGUGUGUGUGUGUGUGUCCGCGCCAGGGUCGAGGGGACUGCGGGCAGCGGUGUGAGUGUGUGUGCCCGGCGGAGCGGGGCUCUGAGCCGGACGGCUCCCCGCCCGCGAGCUCACAGGUGUUGCCUGUCUUGCUUUGGGGAGGUUCUGGGGAGACCCUUACACCGCCCCGGCCCUCGUAGGCCCAUUUCCCGAGCGAGGACGCCCCGCAGCCUUGUGUGUGUGCUAAGGGCCAUUCAAGGCCUCCGAGCUGCAGCGCGUUCUGCAGCGCGUUCUGCAGCGCCGGCGAAGCACUGUCUCUCAUCUGUCAGGUGCAACUCACCUGCGGGCGGGCCUGCACACCGCAGGACUCCGGGCAGAUCUAUGCUGCCGUGUGCACUGGGCAAUCUGAACCAAUUAGUUGCUUAAUCUCUCCGAGCCAAGGUUCCUAAACUGUGAACUAGAGGCGACAGUAAAAAUAAAUAAGACACGGUUUUGAGGGAUUAAUAUGUGCCAGUCUAAGAGCUUUACAUAUAUUAAUUCACUUACUCUUCACAACAUAUUUUUAGCCUCAUUUUGCAGACACGGAAUUGAAUCAAAAGGAGGUUAAGAAACUCGCUCAAGAUCACAUAACUGGUGAAUGGCAGACCUGCCUCUGAGAGGUGGCUCUAAGAUUUGAUUACGUUAAUACGAGAGGAGCACUUAGCCUAGGGCCUGGAACACAGAAAGUCUCGAUGAAUGAAGCGGCCGGCACUCGAAGUGAUGAUGGAUCUGGGUGGUAAGGGGGUUGUCCCCAGGAUCGUGCCAAAGACCAUGGACUCCUGCUUGAGCCCCUCGAACCGGCGGCACGCAGGUGCUGCCCCAUGGUACAGCAUCUCUGGAGCUGCAAAGGAGGCGCUGAAGUCCUGGCUGCCGGUCCCCCACAGCCCAGCUCAAGCUUGGGAACGGCUGACCCUGCUGUUUUCAUCAGGAAGUUUCUGCAGGAUCGUUCUGGCCCCAGUUUCCAUGCCGCUUAUGGGAAAGACAGAGAAUGUUCCCUAUCUAUACGGUGGGGUGUGUAUGUGUGUCUGACGAUCUUUGAUGUUUUUUUAGUAUUGUUCCCCUAAAAUCCAUGUCAACAAAAGGCUCGUUUCUUUAUCUGAAACGAAGCGUACUCUUGAAAACUUAAUAAUAAAUUCGUAUUGUAUGCUAUCUGA